rnacentral:rRNA from 1 species
UACGAAGGGUGCAAGCGUUACUCGGAAUUACUGGGCGUAAAGCGUGCGUAGGUGGUUUGUUAAGUCUGAUGUGAAAGCCCUGGGCUCAACCUGGGAAUUGCAUUGGAUACUGGCAGGCUAGAGUGCGGUAGAGGAUGGCGGAAUUCCCGGUGUAGCAGUGAAAUGCGUAGAGAUCGGGAGGAACGACCGGUGGCGAAGGCGGCGACCUGGGUAGAUACGUGACGCUGAGGUGGCGAAAAGCGUGGGGAGCCAACAGG